CUUUACUUGAUAGAUGCAUAAGGUCCUCCUUUAGAAAGUCUGUCCUUAUAAGCUGUAGUUAAAUAAAUUGGACAUUAUAGGGAAAGGUACUCGAAAACUCCAAGUCAGAAGGAAAACCCUCUGUAGGUCUUCAGACCAAGAAGGUGUCCUUUAAAAAAAAUCUCUGAAUAGAAGAAAAUGAGGAGAGGACUCCUUGAGCCAUGUUUAAGGGGGGUCCUAAAAUAUAGUACUUGGUGAGGCAACAACAGUGUCCACAGAGCAAGCCAUUCAGUGAUCAAUGUCAACUGACCAUGGCAAGCCAGGUACUGGGAUUUGAGGUUUAAGUACAUCCUUCCUUCUUCAAACUCCUAAUAAAGGUAAGCCUUUCUAAAACCUGAACAUUAGAAAUACAUCAUUUGGUGACUGAACACAUCGCUUUUAGUGUGCAAGGAGAAUCUCAGGGGGUGGCAAGAAUGGGUGUGGUAUGUGUGUAGGAAAAGGAGUGGCCUUAGGUUAAUGAGAUACAGCUUCCCUUUCUAGAUGAAGAAGGGGCAGUGUUGUUAAUAGGAAUUUUUAGGCAAUCAUUUGGAGGCACCAGGACAGGGAGAAGCACGAGGGCAUAAUUUAUCAAGACAAUUGUAUAAAGAGUGAAGAUCCGGACCAGGACAAUAGCAGCCUGCAAGAUCACUAGAGACCUUGAAGGAUGCAUCCAACAAGAGGAAUCAGAUGUAGGAAAUAUUUCAACAGAAGGAAGAACCUUUCUCCUGGCUCCUCUAUUUUUCUGUGAUAGUCUAUCAGUCCUGUUACAGUGCAUUGCCUUCAUGCAUGCAAACAAAAAGGUAAGCCUCACGACCGCUGUAGUACCCAAGUCCUUGCUCAUUCAUUCAUAGGAGAGUGUGUGACUAUGCAAUGUAUAGAUAGUGUCUAUAAAUGAAGCAAAGUUUUCAGCUCAUUCCAGACACAGUGCUAAGCAGAUCAGAUUCAUCAGCAAACUGAAGCCUCAUGACAAGUCAGCAUUAUUUUCCUUCCACUUUAAAAAUGAGGAAAGCAAAGCAGACAGAAGCUUGAUGCCAUCCCCAAGGCCAGGCUAGAGUGUAGAAGAGGGAGAGCUGGAGACCAGACAGUCUGGCUGCAUACCCUCAGUCUCAAUCAAUGCUCUGCCUGCCUCCAGAACAGCGGGGAC
rnacentral:lncRNA from 1 species